AGUGAACGCUGGCGGUAUGCCUAACACAUGCAAGUCGAACGGCAGCACAGUAAGAGCUUGCUCUUACGGGUGGCGAGUGACGGACGGGUGAGGAAUACAUCGGAAUCUACUUUUUCGUGGGGGAUAACGUAGGGAAACUUACGCUAAUACCGCAUACGACCUACGGGUGAAAUCAGGAGAUCUUCGGACCUUGCGCGAUUGAAUUAGCCGAUGUCGGAUUAGCUAGUUGGCGGGGUAAAGGCCCACCAAGGCGACGAUCCGUAGCUGGUCUGAGAGGAUGAUCAGCCACACUGGAACUGAGACACGGUCCAGACUCCUACGGGAGGCAGCAGUGGGGAAUAUUGGACAAUGGGCGCAAGCCUGAUCCAGCCAUACCGCGUGGGUGAAGAAGGCCUUCGGGUUGUAAAGCCCUUUUGUUGGGAAAGAAAAGAAGCAGGUUAAUACCCCGCUGUUUUGACGGUACCUAAAGAAUAAGCACCGGCUAACUUCGUG
rnacentral:rRNA from 1 species